rnacentral:rRNA from 1 species
GACGAACGCUGGCGGCGUGCCUAAUACAUGCAAGUAGAACGCUGAAGGAGGAGCUUGCUUCUCUGGAUGAGUUGCGAACGGGUGAGUAACGCGUAGGUAACCUGCCUGGUAGCGGGGGAUAACUAUUGGAAACGAUAGCUAAUACCGCAUAAGAGUAGAUGUCGCAUGACAUUUGCUUAAAAGGUGCAAUUGCAUCACUACCAGAUGGACCUGCGUUGUAUUAGCUAGUGGGUGAGGUAACGGCUCACCAAGGCAACGAUACAUAGCCGACCUGCGAGGGGGCUCGGCCUCGCUGGGACUGGGACACGGCCCGGACUCCUGCGGCUGGCAGCCGUAGCGAAUCUCCGGCAAUGGCCGCAAGGCGGACCGUGCAACGCUGCGUGAGUGCAGAAGGUUUUCGUGUCGUGUAGAUCUGUUGUGAGAUAGGAUUGUGUGUGAGUGUGGACGGUGCCCACUGUGACGGUAUCCUGCCAGAAAGGGCCGGCUAACUACGUG